rnacentral:rRNA from 1 species
AGAGUUUGAUCCUGGCUCAGAAUGAACGCUGGCGGCGUGCUUAACACAUGCAAGUCGCACGAGAACGCUUUAGCUUGCUAAAGCAAGUAAAGUGGCGCACGGGUGAGUAACGCGUGGGCAAUCUACCUCCGAAUCGGGGAUAACAUUGCGAAAGCGAUGCUAAUACCGGAUGACAUCCUGAAGGCUUUGGUUUUAAGGAUCAAAGGUGGCCUCUACAAGUAAGCUACUGUUUGGAGAUGAGCCCGCGUACCAUUAGCUUGUUGGUAGGGUAACGGCCUACCAAGGCGACGAUGGUUAGCUGGUCUGAGAGGAUGAUCAGCCACACUGGAACUGACACACGGUCCAGACUCCUACGGGAGGCAGCAGUGAGGAAUUUUGCGCAAUGGGGGAAACCCUGACGCAGCAACGCCGCGUGAGUGAUGAAGGCUUUCGGGUCGUAAAGCUCUGUCAAGUGGGAAGAAACCACGAGGUGAUAAUAUCGCUUUGUGCUGACGGUACCACUGAAGGAAGCACCGGCUAACUCCGUGCCAGCAGCCGCGGUAAUACGGGGGGUGCAAGCGUUAUUCGGAAUCAUUGGGCGUAAAGGGCGCGUAGGCGGUUUGUUAAGUCAGAUGUGAAAGCCCGGGGCUCAACCCCGGAAGUGCAUUUGAUACUGGCGGACUUGAGUAUGGGAGAGGGAAGUGGAAUUCCUGGUGUAGAGGUGAAAUUCGUAGAUAUCAGGAGGAACACCGGUGGCGAAGGCGACUUCCUGGACCAAUACUGACGCUGAGGCGCGAAGGCGUGGGUAGCAAACAGGAUUAGAUACCCUGGUAGUCCACGCAGUAAACGGUGAUCACUAGGUGUAGCGGGUAUUGACCCCUGCUGUGCCGCAGUUAACGCAUUAAGUGAUCCGCCUGGGGAGUACGGCCGCAAGGUUAAAACUCAAAGGAAUUGACGGGGGCCCGCACAAGCGGUGGAGCAUGUGGUUUAAUUCGACGCAACGCGAAGAACCUUACCUGGGUUUGACAUCUCGGGGAUUUUUUGGAAACAAGAAAGUGCCCUUCGGGGAGCCCGAAGACAGGUGCUGCAUGGCUGUCGUCAGCUCGUGUCGUGAGAUGUUGGGUUAAGUCCCGCAACGAGCGCAACCCUUAUCUUUAGUUACCAUCACUUCGGGUGGGGACUCUAAAGAUACUGCCCCGGUCAACGGGGAGGAAGGUGGGGAUGACGUC